GAUGAACGCUGGCGGCGUGCCUAAUACAUGCAAGUCGAGCGAACAGACGAGGAGCUUGCUCCUCUGACGUUAGCGGCGGACGGGUGAGUAACACGUGGAUAACCUACCUAUAAGACUGGGAUAACUUCGGGAAACCGGAGCUAAUACCGGAUAAUAUAUUGAACCGCAUGGUUCAAUAGUGAAAGACGGUUUUGCUGUCACUUAUAGAUGGAUCCGCGCCGCAUUAGCUAGUUGGUAAGGUAACGGCUUACCAAGGCGACGAUGCGUAGCCGACCUGAGAGGGUGAUCGGCCACACUGGAACUGAGACACGGUCCAGACUCCUACGGGAGGCAGCAGUAGGGAAUCUUCCGCAAUGGGCGAAAGCUUGACGGAGCAACGCCGCGUGAGUGAUGAAGGUCUUCGGAUCGUAAAACUCUGUUAUUAGGGAAGAACAAAUGUGUAAGUAACUAUGCACGUCUUGACAGUACCUAAUCAGAAAGCCACGGCUAACUACGUG
rnacentral:rRNA from 1 species